GUUUGGUUAAGUUAGAAAGGGCGCACGGUGGAUGCCUUGACACUAGGAGUCGAUGAAGGACGGGACUAACGCCGAUAUGCUUCGGGGAGCUGUAAGUAAGCUUUGAUCCGAAGAUUUCCGAAUGGGGAAACCCACCAUACGUAAUGGUAUGGUAUCCUUAUCUGAAUACAUAGGGUAAGGAAGACAGACCCAGGGAACUGAAACAUCUAAGUACCUGGAGGAAGAGAAAGCAAAUGCGAUUUCCUGAGUAGCGGCGAGCGAAACGGAACAUAGCCCAAACCAAGAGGCUUGCCUCUUGGGGUUGUAGGACAUUCUAUACGGAGUUACAAAGGAACGAGGUAGACGAAGCGACCUGGAAAGGUCCGUCGUAGAGGGUAACAACCCCGUAGUCGAAACUUCGUUCUCUCUUGAAUGUAUCCUGAGUACGGCGGAACACGUGAAAUUCCGUCGGAAUCUGGGAGGACCAUCUCCCAAGGCUAAAUACUCCCUAGUGAUCGAUAGUGAACCAGUACCGUGAGGGAAAGGUGAAAAGCACCCCGGAAGGGGAGUGAAAGAGAUCCUGAAACCGUGUGCNUACAAAUAGUCAGAGCCCGUUAACGGGUGAUGGCGUGCCUUUUGUAGAAUGAACCGGCGAGUUACNAUNCCGUGCGAGGUUAAGCUGAAGAGGCGGAGCCGCAGCGAAAGCGAGUCUGAAUAGGGCGUUUAGUACGUGGUCGUAGACCCGAAACCAGGUGAUCUACCCAUGUCCAGGGUGAAGUUCAGGUAACACUGAAUGGAGGCCCGAACCCACGCACGUUGAAAAGUGCGGGGAUGAGGUGUGGGUAGCGGAGAAAUUCCAAUCGAACCUGGAGAUAGCUGGUUCUCCCCGAAAUAGCUUUAGGGCUAGCCUUAAGUGUAAGAGUCUUGGAGGUAGAGCACUGAUUGGACUAGGGGUCCUCAUCGGAUUACCGAAUUCAGUCAAACUCCGAAUGCCAAUGACUUAUCCUUAGGAGUCAGACUGCGAGUGAUAAGAUCCGUAGUCAAAAGGGAAACAGCCCAGACCGCCAGCUAAGGUCCCAAAGUGUGUAUUAAGUGGAAAAGGAUGUGGAGUUGCUUAGACAACUAGGAUGUUGGCUUAGAAGCAGCCACCAUUUAAAGAGUGCGUAAUAGCUCACUAGUCGAGUGACUCUGCGCCGAAAAUGUACCGGGGCUAAAUACACCACCGAAGCUGCGGAUUGAUACCAAUGGUAUCAGUGGUAGGGGAGCGUUCUAAGGACAGUGAAGUCAGACCGGAAGGACUGGUGGAGUGCUUAGAAGUGAGAAUGCCGGUAUGAGUAGCGAAAGACGGGUGAGAAUCCCGUCCACCGAAUGCCUAAGGUUUCCUGAGGAAGGCUCGUCCGCUCAGGGUUAGUCAGGACCUAAGCCGAGGCCGACAGGCGUAGGCGAUGGACAACAGGUUGAUAUUCCUGUACCACCUCUUUAUC
rnacentral:rRNA from 1 species